CUUGAGAAACUUCAUGACUAAUUCUUUCUUGUAUCAUCUAUUAUAUUAAUUCUCCUGGGUGUGCCUUGGAAUGUGCGUCCCAGAGCCCAGCUGAUUGGCUGAGUGGCGGAUGCGCCUGUUUGGCUGAGUCGCACCCAGGAGGAUUGGCCGCCGCCGCCGCAGCCCGGCUGUGGAGGCCAGAGGUGGUGGGCUGGCCCGGCCACGGAGGCAAGGCCCAGGAGGGAGGAAAGAAAGGGGGGUAGAAGUGGGAGUGUGGAGGAGAGGUGGCUGGGCCCGGAAGCAGAGACUGGGGCAGAAGCGGAGGGGGGGGGAGGUAACCGCUGGCGCCAAAGAGCGCACAGAUGCUCUGUGUGGAGUUGGCUAGUAUUCUUCAUAAUUUGGAUUAACAUGUUAAUAGCUGUUUUACUCAGUGCAGGUGCAGAAAAAAUAUCUAAGGUGCCAUUCUUUUUCCAAGUCAAGCCACUGAACAAAGCUCCCCAGAGAACCCUGUCUCAGAGGAGGCACUUCCUGAAGGCCCAGCCAGGCUGUUACAGAUUUGGAAGGUGAAGGAGGAAUUGAACGGGGAUUAUAUGGAACCUGUGGGAGUGAGUGGUGAAGAGGUGGUGGGCUGGAGGGGUAGAAGUCACCCUUAUUAAGCCUGAUCUGGUGCAAAAGAAGCAGUACUUGCCAGGCUGGACUUAUAAGAUCAAGGGAUAAGAAGUAGGCCUCAGGCUUCUGAAGAGUAGACAGCACCUACAGAGCCCAGCCCAGAGCAAACAAUCCCAGAGACAUCAAUGCAGACAGUUGACUGCAAGGGGAGCAUGCUGCAGAAUUUCUUGCUGAACAAAAGCAGGAUGAAUCCUUGAAGGGAUUGUGGCAGGAAGCAGCGAGGACCUCCACGCAAGAUGUCACCAUAGAGCAGCAUGCCUGUACAAGAUCACCAUCAUUUGCUAGAUCCUCUUUGUCUGGAGAUGUGGUUGCAGCUGCAGCCACAUCAUGAAAUGCAAAGCUUUAGUGGAAGGCAGGAUGCCUAAUCAUUUUUCAACUCACACUUAAUAUUCCAUGGUGAAUCGGCUUUACACAGUAAGACAGUCUUGGAACCAAAAUGAGAUCCCUGAAAACCCCUUCCAGGGGUUCUGCUGUGAUCAAGAGAACUCCCUUUGCUGGUAAAGACAGUUACAUCACUGGAGUUAGGGGAUUUCUAGCAAAGAAGAAAAUUGUAUCAGACACACAGUUCCAGCAGAAUUGAAUACCUUGUAUUGCUUUGACAGAGACUUUAAUUUAUUGUGCGUUAAAAAUGUGCGCUCUCUCUCACCCCAAAACAAAGCCUUGUACGUUAUAUCUACUUUGGGGCACAUGAAGAAAAUGGCAUCUAUUUUUUAAAAAGCUGUUCAUAUUGAAUCUGUA